AGGCCCAAACAAUUAUACCUUCAUAUACGCGAAAAGGACAAUUUUUUUCAGGUUUGGACACUAGGUCCGGGCGUGGCACGGACGCGGUAUUUGGCAAGUGUAUUGCCUCUGUUCGCGUCACGUCUGUGAUCACGAUUUCGACCGUGUUCUUCACCGUAUUCCGUUUAUAAUUUGAAAAAACAUAAAAUGUGAAAGUUGUAGCCUUUGCGUUAGCUUUCCAACCAUAUAUUGUGUAGCCCAAAUGGAGUUCUGAGAAAAACGUUAUGUGUAUUUUACUAGACAAUGUGCAAUAUGACUACUCGAUUCUUCGUUUUGUUGCUCUAUCAUCCGUUGAUCCUGAAUACGAUCCCGGAUUAAUUCCUUGGGGUUUUACUCAAACUUCAAAGCUCUAAUUCACUUGAAUUCAGUCCAUAUCAUCUAUAUAGCUCGGAAUCAAUCCU
rnacentral:lncRNA from 1 species